CUCCUACGGGAGGCAGCAGUGGGGAAUUUUGGACAAUGGGCGCAAGCCUGAUCCAGCCAUGCCGCGUGCGGGAAGAAGGCCUUCGGGUUGUAAACCGCUUUUGUCAGGGAAGAAAAGCUUCAAGCUAAUAUCUUGAGGUGAUGACGGUACCUGAAGAAUAAGCACCGGCUAACUACGUGCCAGCAGCCGCGGUAAUACGUAGGGUGCAAGCGUUAAUCGGAAUUACUGGGCGUAAAGCGUGCGCAGGCGGUUGUGCAAGACAGGUGUGAAAUCCCCGGGCUUAACCUGGGAACUGCACUUGUGACUGCACAGCUUGAGUGCGGCAGAGGGGGAUGGAAUUCCGCGUGUAGCAGUGAAAUGCGUAGAUAUGCGGAGGAACACCGAUGGCGAAGGCAAUCCCCUGGGCCUGCACUGACGCUCAUGCACGAAAGCGUGGGGAGCAAACAGGAUUAGAUACCCUGGUAGUCCACGCCCUAAACGAUGUCAACUGGUUGUUGGGAGGGUUUCUUCUCAGUAACGUAGCUAACGCGUGAAGU
rnacentral:rRNA from 1 species